rnacentral:rRNA from 1 species
CCCUUAGAGUUUGAUCCUGGCUCAGAAUCAACGCUGGCGGCGUGCCUAACACAUGCAAGUCGAACGAGAAAGUGGAGCAAUCCAUGAGUAAAGUGGCGCACGGGUGAGUAACACGUGACUAACCUACCCUUGAGUGGGGGAUAACCUCGGGAAACCGGGGCUAAUACCGCAUAACACCUACGGGUCAAAGGAGCAAUUCGCUUAAGGAGGGGGUCGCGGCAGAUUAGUUAGUUGGCAGGGUAAUGGCCUACCAAGACGGUGAUCUGUAUCCGGCCUGAGAGGGCGCACGGACACACUGGAACUGAAACACGGUCCAGACUCCUACGGGAGGCAGCAGUGGGGAAUUUUGCGCAAUGGGGGAAACCCUGACGCAGCAACGCCGCGUGGAGGAUGAAGUCCCUUGGGACGUAAACUCCUUUCGAUCGGGACGAUUAUGACGGUACCGGAAGAAGAAGCUCCGGCUAACUUCGUGCCAGCAGCCGCGGUAAUACGAAGGGAGCUAGCGUUGUUCGGAAUUACUGGGCGUAAAGGGCGCGUAGGCGGACAUCUAAGUCAGGGGUGAAAUCCCAGGGCUCAACCCUGGAAUUGCCUUUGAUACUGGACGUCUUGAGUUCGGGAGAGGUGAGUGGAAUUCCGAGUGUAGAGGUGAAAUUCGUAGAUAUUCGGAGGAACACCAGAAGCGAAGGCGGCUCACUGGCCCGAUACUGACGCUGAGGCGCGAAAGCGUGGGGAGCAAACAGGAUUAGAUACC